ACGAGAGAGGCAGAAGCAUUAUCACCUUCAAUUAAGGAGCAAUAGCUCAAAAUGUUAUGAGUCAGGAACAGCAAAUGUCACAGUUGGGGUUUUGUUUCUGUUGAUCCACCCCCCAUCCCCCAAUCUGGACUUUCACUAUAUACUGUAAAGGCGAGUACAUGUAAAUAAACUUCUGAAUUUAAAGAAAGAAAGAAAAAAAUCAAGGGGAUGGGUCGCUGCGUCGCAGCUUGUCGUCGUCCAACAUAAACAGCGUUGCAGAAAUCUCCACACUCCGAGCUCCACUUUUGUCUUCCUCGCGCUCAAAAUAGAGGCGGUGACCUAUUCAGAUGUAAUGAAUAAUUAAACUCCGAGUCUCUGAUUUUUUAAAUUAACACAAAUUUCUUUGUCGCGAAGGCGCUGACAUUCAAGGUUUCUGGUGUCAGAAGAACCAAUGGAGCCCCAGAGCAUUACUGACCCGCCACCGUGCUUCCACUUAGGCAUGGUGUGCUUUCCAGCAUUAUGCUUCCUUCCUCCUAUUCCAAACAUUUCUUGAUGCACAGACAUAUAUAUUUUUUGCUGCCACCAAGUUUGCCUGCAGGACUUUUCCAGUCGGAGGAAGAUGUUUGGCCACCUGCCUCUUCACAAAUCCAACCACUGAUAACUUCUUCUUGCUAAAAUGUCCGGGUGGUUUAGCAACGAACCUCCUACCUUUAAUUCUGCUAACUAUGCUUUCAACUGCAGGCUCUUUUGCUAUAAUUUUGUAUCUUUUUUUCCCUUUUUUGAGUAAGGUAUUCUAUCUUCUCUGAACUCUCUGGACAAUUCACUAGACUAUAUCUAAAAUGCAAUACAACACUUCCAUGAACAAUCGCUAUCUGGGCUGUUUGUACCUCAAGCAAACCUGAUGCCACCAUUGAAACCACUGAUAGCUUGUACCAGAACUGGGUCUUCAUAAUAGACAAAGCGUUUUAUUAUGAAAAGCUGAGGGUCUUGAAGAAUUGUGAGACUAUACUAAUCAAUUAUUCAAUAAUUUCUAAAUAAAAUUAUUGUAAUGUUAGUGUUCUUUAUCUCAUUAAGCUGUUCUCAUCUAAAUAGUUUAUUACUGAACAGCUGAAAACAAUUUUUUUUACCAGUAAACCUCAUCCGAUUUGAGGUUGCAGAUAUAAAAAAAAUUUUUAAUUAAAUGUACGUUUCGAAAAUCUGGAAAGAUUCUAGGGGUGUGAAAACUUUGGAAAGACAUUUACAACUCCACAACACGAGGACAGAGUUUGAGCAAAGAGUGAGCAAAGAGGUGAAUGCAGGAGUCAGAGUUUAUCUGCAUUAACCAAUAAAGUGAAGGAGACGAAUUGCAGCUUGAGCUCAUCAUGUUAGACCAGUGGCCUGAACUGCAGCAGCGAGCUGCUGGCGAAUUGAAGGAUCUGUAGCUUUUCUUUAGGAAUGUCUGUUAAAAAUGCAUCAAGUUUAUCAAGGGAAGUUAGAGUUCUCUGGGCUCAUUAGUCUGAAUAAAAUAGCACGCUCUGGCAUGAAGAGAUUCCAGCGUUAAAACCGUUGCCAGUUAAUCCAUAUGAGAGCAGAUCCUGCCUGGUGAUCAAAA